rnacentral:rRNA from 1 species
CCUACGGGCGGCAGCAGUGAGGAAUAUUGGUCAAUGGGAGGAAUCCUGAACCAGCCAUGCCGCGUGCAGGACGACGGCUCUACGAGUUGUAAACUGCUUUUGUACCGGGGUAAAAUGCCUUACGUGUAGGGUUUUGAAAGUACGGUACGAAUAAGGAUCGGCUAACUCCGUGCCAGCAGCCGCGGUAAUACGGAGGAUCCGAGCGUUAUCCGGAUUCAUUGGGUUUAAAGGGUGCGUAGGCGGUUCGAUAAGUUAGAGGUGAAAUCCCGGGGCUCAACUCCGGCACUGCCUCUGAUACUGUCGGGCUAGAGUUUAGUUGCGGUAGGCGGAAUGUAUGGUGUAGCGGUGAAAUGCAUAGAGAUCAUACAGAACACCGAUUGCGAAGGCAGCUUACCAAACUACGACUGACGUUGAGGCACGAAAGCGUGGGGAGCAAACAGGAUUAGAUACCCCAGUAGUC